rnacentral:pre_miRNA from 1 species
AGGAGGAACAGCCCCAGUGGCGGGGCAGCUCUGGAAACCUGGAUUCAGCUCCGGCAGGAACUCCGGAGCUCUCCGUCUGCAGGGCCUGGAGGCUCCAGGGCGGG